UACGGAGGGUGCAAGCGUUAUCCGGAUUUACUGGGUUUAAAGGGUGUGUAGGCGGGUCUUUAAGUCAGUGGUGAAAUCUCCGAGCUCAACUUGGAAACUGCCAUUGAUACUAUUGAUCUUGAAUUUUUGUUGAGGUAGGCGGAAUAAGUCAUGUAGCGGUGAAAUGCAUAGAUAUGACUUAGAACACCAAUUGCGAAGGCAGCUUACUAAGCAAAUAUUGACGCUGAGGCACGAAAGCGUGGGGAUCAAACAGG
rnacentral:rRNA from 1 species